rnacentral:rRNA from 1 species
GACGAACGCUGGCGGCGUGCUUAACACAUGCAAGUCGAGCGGUAAGGCCCUUUCGGGGGUACACGAGCGGCGAACGGGUGAGUAACACGUGGGUGACCUGCCCUCAGCUCUGGGAUAAGCCUGGGAAACCGGGUCUAAUACCGGAUAUGACUCCAUGACGCAUGUUGUGGGGUGGAAAGCCUUGUGCGGCUGAGGAUGGGCCCGCGGCCUAUCAGCUUGUUGGUGGGGNGAUGGCCUACCAAGGCGACGACGGGUAGCCGGCCUGAGAGGGCGACCGGCCACACUGGGACUGAGACACGGUCCAGACACCUACGGGUGGCAGCAGUCGAGAAUUUUUCUCAAGUGGGGGAAACCCUGAAGGAGCGACGCCGCGUGGAGGAUGAAGGUCUUUC